UACGUAGGGUGCAAGCGUUGUCCGGAAUUAUUGGGCGUAAAGAGCUCGUAGGCGGUCUGUCGCGUCGGAUGUGAAAACCCAGGGCUCAACCCUGGGCCUGCAUUCGAUACGGGCAGACUAGAGUUCGGUAGGGGAGACUGGAAUUCCUGGUGUAGCGGUGAAAUGCGCAGAUAUCAGGAGGAACACCGGUGGCGAAGGCGGGUCUCUGGGCCGAAACUGACGCUGAGGAGCGAAAGCGUGGGGAGCAACCAGG
rnacentral:rRNA from 1 species